GACGAACGCUGGCGGCGUGCUUAACACAUGCAAGUCGAACGGAAAGGCCCUGCUUUCGUGGGGUGCUCGAGUGGCGAACGGGUGAGUAACACUUGAGUAACCUGCCCUUGACUUUCGGCUAACUUCAGGAAACCGGGGCUCAUACCGGAUAGGAGCUCCUGCUGUUUGGUGGGGGUUGGAAAGUUUCGGCGGUUGGGGAUGGACUCGCGGCUUAUCAGCUUGUUGGUGGGGUAGUGGCUUACCAAGGCUUUGACGGGUAGCCGGCCUGAGAGGGUGACCGGCAACAUUGGGACUGAGAUACGGCACGGACUACUGCGGGAGGCAGCAGUGUGGAAGAAUGCACGAUGGGCGGAAGCCUGAUGCAGCAACGCCGCGUGCGGGGUGACGGCCUUCGGUUUGUAGGCGGUAUUCGCGUGUGACGGUGCGUGAGUGACGGUAACGGGUAAAGAAGCACCGGCUAAGUACGUG
rnacentral:rRNA from 1 species